ensembl:snRNA U6 U6 spliceosomal RNA
GUACUCACUCCAGCAGCACAGGUGCUAAAUUUGGAACAAUACCAAAAAGAUUGGUGCGGUCCCUGUAUAAGCAUGAUGCAGAAAUUAGUGAAGUAUUCUAUACAUGU